rnacentral:rRNA from 1 species
UACGAAGGGGCUAGCGUUGCUCGGAAUUACUGGCGUAAGCGCACGUAGGCGGCUUGUUAAGUCGGGGGUGAAAUCCUGGAGCUCAACUCCAGAACUGCCUUCGAUACUGCGAGCUCGAGUUCGGAGAGUGAGUGACUGCGAGUGUAGAGGUGAAUUCGUAGAUAUUCGCAAGAACACCAGUGGCGAAGGCGGCCUCACUGGCCCGCAUAACUGACGCUGAGGUGCGAAAGCGUGGGGAGCAAACAGG